rnacentral:rRNA from 1 species
GACAGAGGGUGCAAACGUUGUUCGGAAUUACUGGGCGUAAAGCGCGUGUAGGCUGCUUCGCAAGUCGGGUGUGAAAGCCCUGGGCUCAACCUAGGAAGUGCACUCGAAACUGCGAAGCUGGAGUCCUGGAGAGGAAGGCGGAAUUCUCGGUGUAGAGGUGAAAUGCGUAGAUAUCUGGAGGAAUACCGGUGGCGAAGGCGGCAUCCUGGACCGACAUUGACGCUGAGGAGCGAAAGCUAGGGGAGCAAACGGG